UGAUCGUGUGGUAACUGCUCCAGUCCCGGGGAGAAUGUAUGUUGUAAAGACAUACCACAGGUAAUGCACAGAUGUGUACAGGUGAAUGGUGUCGCCUGUAUAACAGACCACCCAGGCUUUGACCCUGUCGCUCUAAACCCAUUCGUACUGCAGGCAGUGUAUGGCACGUAUCGCCAGUUUUUUGGGGAGAUGAGGAACCCUACCCUCAACAGUUCUUACAGACACCUGGCAUACAGGAAUUUUGUCCGAUGGUGCUGGGGCUUCCUGGGCAGAUACAUCAGAGUGGUCAUACCCUCCUGUGCAGUUACACGCAUCAGACAGCAGUUUCCAGAACAAUGUGAAAACAUCCAAAAUACACUUUCAAGUGUAUAUUUUAGAGCACUGUAUCUAUUUGCAUCUAUAGAUCUUUAAAGGCUGUUUUCUCAAAAUGAGCUUUUUCUCCUGCUCUGAGUCAGAA